rnacentral:rRNA from 1 species
GCUCAGUAACACGUGGACAACCUGCCCUAGGGACAGGGAUAACCUUGGGAAACUGAGGCUAAUACCUGAUAGGGUAAAGAUACCGGAAUGUUCUUUACCUUAAACAUUUAUGGCCCUAGGAUGGGUCUGCGGCAGAUUAGCCAGUUGGUAAGGUAACGGCCUACCAAAGCUAUAAUCUGUACGGGUGAUGGGAGUCAUGGCCCGGAGAAGAGGACUGAGACAAGGCCUCUAGCCCUACGGGGUGCAGCAGUUACGAAACCUUUACAAUGCACGAAAGUGUGAUAAGGGGACUCCAAGUGAUUAUGCACAAAGUAUAAUCUUUUGCCAAGUGUAGAUAGCUCGGCGAAUAAGGACUGGGCAAGACCCGUGCCAGCCGCCGCGGUAAUACGGGCAGUCCAAGUGGUGCUCACGAGUAUUGGGCUUAGAGCGUCCGUAGCUGGUUUUGUAAGUCUUCUGUGAAAGCCUAUUGCUUAACUUUAGGAAGUGCAGAAGAAACUACAAGACUUGGAGGCGGGAGAGGUCAGGGGUACUCUUGGAGUAGCGGUGGAAUGCAAUAAUCCCAAGAGGACCACCGGUAGCGAAGGCGCCUGACUAGAACGCACUCAACAGUGAGGGACUAAAGCUAGGGGAGCGACAGGGAUUAGAUACCCCUUUAGUCCUAGCCGUCAAGGAUGCAGACUAGGUGUCACAUAACCCUCGAGGUUGUGUGGUGCCGAAGGGAAACCAUUAAGUCUGCCGCCUGGGGAGUACGGUCGCAAGGUUGAAACUUAAAGGAAUUGGCGGGGGAGCACCACAAGCGGUGGAGGGUGUGGUUUAAUUGGAUAAAACGCCCGACAUCUCACCAUGGGCGACAGCAGAAUGACGAUCAGUCUAAGGGGCUUUUCUGACGCGCUGAGAGCUGGUGCAUGGCCAUCGUCAGCUCGUGCUAUGAAGUGUCCUCUUAAGUGAGGUAACGAGCGAGACCCACGCCUCUAGUUGCUAAGUGUUUCAUUAUGAUUCACAGGACUCUAGAGGGACUGCCAGAGAUAAUCUGGAGGAGGGAGUGGGCGACGGUAGGUCAGUAUGCCGCGAAUCUCAUGGGCUACACGCGCCCUACAUUGACAGGCACAACGGGAUGCAACUCCGAGAGGAGAAGCUAAUCUCUUAAAACCUGCCUAAGUUUGGAUUGAGGAUUGAAACUCAUCCUCAUGAAAAUGGAAUCGCUAGUAAUCGCGGGUCACUAUCCCGCGGUGAAUCUGUCCCUGCUCCUUGCACACACCAAGCCGA